UACAGAGGUCUCAAGCGUUGUUCGGAUUCAUUGGGCGUAAAGGGUGCGUAGGUGGCAUGGUAAGUCGGAUGUGAAAUCCCGGGGCUCAACCCCGGAACUGCAUUCGAUACUGCUGCGCUAGAGUACUGGAGAGGAGAUUGGAAUUUACGGUGUAGCAGUGAAAUGCGUAGAUAUCGUAAGGAAGACCAGUGGCGAAGGCGGAUCUCUGGACAGUUACUAACACUGAGGCACGAAGGCCAGGGGAGCAAACGGG
rnacentral:rRNA from 1 species